rnacentral:lncRNA from 1 species
UAAGUGUCACAACUCAACACUGUACUUUUCAAUGAUUUCUCCCCGUGAUCAUUUCUAAUGUACCAACUAUGGUAAUUCAAACUCUGAGGGUUUACUUCUCACACUUCUUCGUUUUGGAAUUCGUCUUUAACAUGUUCAUGUGAGCUUCUCUGUCCAAAGUAUCUGAAGACAACCCUUACUAACAUAUGUUCUUGAAAUUCAACUCUCUACUUUCAUGGUGGUCAAAUUUCUCUAGCAUAAUACUCAUUGCAGAUGAAGUUUCAACACAACCACCCUAAUGUCAUCAUCAACCUUGUCAUUCCUUUUAAUGUUAGAUAAUGUUAUCUCCAGUUUUACAAAUCGAUCAUGCUUAAGGUAUUUUUUAC